GACGAACGCUGGCGGCGUGCUUAACACAUGCAAGUCGAACGAAGUGGCGAACGGGUGAGUAACGCGUAAUCAACCUGCCCUUCAGAGGGGGACAACAGUUGGAAACGACUGCUAAUACCGCAUACUGAAGGAGGGGAUUGAGUCUGAUUAGCUAGUUGGAGGGGUAACGGCCCACCAAGGCGAUGAUCAGUAGUCGGUCUGGAAGGAUUAACGGCCACAAUGGGACUGAGAAACGGGCCAGACGUCUACGGGAGGCAGCAGGGGGGAAUCUUCCGACAUGGAGGAAAGGCUGACGGAGCAACGCCGCGUGAGUGAUGACGGCCUUCGGGUUUGAAAGCUCUGUUAAUCGGGGCGCGGUACCGGAAUAGAAAGCAACGGCUAACUACGUGCCAGCAGCCGCGGUAAUAC
rnacentral:rRNA from 1 species